UACGAAGGGGGCUAGCGUUGUUCGGAAUCACUGGGCUUAAAGGGCGCGUAGGCGGGCUGGUAAGUCAGGGGUGAAAGCCCACGGCCCAACCGUGGAAGUGCCUUUGAUACUGCCAGUCUCGAGGGAGGUAGGGGCGUGCGGAACUUCCGGUGGAGCGGUGAAAUGCGUAGAUAUCGGAAGGAACACCGGUGGCGAAAGCGGCGCGCUGGACCUCUUCUGACGCUGAGGCGCGAAAGCCAGGGGAGCAAACGGG
rnacentral:rRNA from 1 species